rfam:Apaloderma vittatum contig27437, whole genome shotgun sequence.
GGCCAGUUAGCUCAGUCGGUUGAGCAUGGCACUGUCAACGCCAAGGCCACAGGUUUGAUUCCCUUUUGGUCC